GUGCUGAGUAUUGUGAAAACAGACUAAAAGCAUUGAGCAAAGACAACAGAAAAGGAAUCUGCUCACCUUAAUGAAUUGCAUAACCAUGUGGAACCUGCACUAUUUCCAAAAUGAAUUGUUGAGGAGUUACGUAGCAUAGCAGAGGCAAGUGCUGGAGGUGCUCGUGUUGUUAUUUUGAAUUGCUUAUGGACGGGAAAACGUUUGGAACAAGAUAACUUUACAGGUCACCGAUCUCAAUCUUUUAACAAUGGCAAGGUCAAGUACUGGUACAAAUACACUCAACUGUUCCAUCCAGGAGCGUGAAGAGUAUUCCAUCACUCACUAUACUCAUCUUGCAAGAGGUGGAGUAACUUUGGGAAGCCCUGAAAGGAACUGUUCACCAACUCUGACCAGCUCCACCAUUUCUUGGCAUUUACAGAUUCUGAGAAAGUUAAUGGGAACUGAAUUUGAUAACUAGUAGCUCAUUAAAGGAAGAAUUAAGUCUUUGUAAAAUAAAACUACAUAAACUGAAUUUUUCAGCAUAUUGUUUGUUCAAUUAAGAUUUUUGGCAGCCACAUGAUUCACUGAAUUGCCAAUGAAAGGCAUAUCACUUUUAAAUGGUGCCAUUUUGCCUGGGCCAUUAAAGUGAAUGACACAAGUGUUUUAAAGCCAAUAUCACAAGAACAAAGAGUGAAUUCAUUUCAAAUUUUAAAAAUAACUCCUGCUCAAGCACCAAUGGUUGACACAUACAGGCAGAAACACAUAAUUCUCCCUUUGCGGAAGGCAAUUUUAUCAAGAAAGCUCAUGCAACAAAACAUGAUACUUACCCUCGAUCAAAUAUACAUAAAUCUGCACCAUAGACAGUGUCGCUGCCCUGAGGCUGCAGACAUCUAU